AUUGAACGCUGGCGGCAGGCUUAACACAUGCAAGUCGAGCGGAGAUGAGGUGCUUGCACCUUAUCUUAGCGGCGGACGGGUGAGUAAUGCUUAGGAAUCUGCCUAUUAGUGGGGGACAACAUUCCGAAAGGAAUGCUAAUACCGCAUACGUCCUACGGGAGAAAGCAGGGGAUCUUCGGACCUUGCGCUAAUAGAUGAGCCUAAGUCGGAUUAGCUAGUUGGUGGGGUAAAGGCCUACCAAGGCGACGAUCUGUAGCGGGUCUGAGAGGAUGAUCCGCCACACUGGGACUGAGACACGGCCCAGACUCCUACGGGAGGCAGCAGUGGGGAAUAUUGGACAAUGGGGGGAACCCUGAUCCAGCCAUGCCGCGUGUGUGAAGAAGGCCUUAUGGUUGUAAAGCACUUUAAGCGAGGAGGAGGCUACUGAGACUAAUACUCUUGGAUAGUGGACGUUACUCGCAGAAUAAGCACCGGCUAACUCUGUGCCAGCCGCCGCCGUAA
rnacentral:rRNA from 1 species